CACAAUGUAGUGCUCUAAUUCACUGUCUACCAGAGUGAUCAUAUCGCCACUAUCCUCUGACACGGCAAUGAUCUCCAGAUCUGCUUUGAGGAUCUGCCGCUCAACAAUCUGGAAAAAGAUUUACACUUCAUGUUAAGGUUCUCUGAAUGGAUGACUAUGAUAGCAGAGCCCACACCCCAGUGAAUGGCUAGGAUGAGUAAAUUUGUAUCGAUUUAAAUUGAUUAGUUUUUGUGUAACUGUUGCUAUAUCUAAAUAACCAAGGCCCUGUUCACACCUACACAGGUAUGUUAAAAACCAUAACUUUUUCUAUGCAGUUUGGCCAUUUGUCCACAUGCAACUGCAGUAUGAAGCAACUGAAAAAAAUCCUGCUAGCCAUGGUUAUUUUGAGAUAAACAUCAGUUUAAUUUUAGUCAGUUAUUUUUCGAUGAUUUCAAUCUUUGGCAUGGCCGUAUUUAUCAAACAAAUCAAGUUUAUAUUUUCACAGGAUGUUCUUUACAUUAUGUAGGAUGUAUGUUUUUGCUCUGUUUGGGUAACAUUUGAUUUAAAGAUCUUUAAAUGACCAUGAUGCCUGUGCCUAAAAAAGCAACAAGAAGUUGUGAAUCAUAUUGUGUACCUUGACCGUUGUGUAAUUAGAGGAGUCAAAUUUUCCUGUGCCAUUUGGCCUUAUAUUUCCUCUUAGGUGACUGAUCUCCACCUUGUCUCCUGCAUACAACUCUUCCAAAGCGUUUUCUCUCCACAGUGAGACCUCAUGGAGUUUGGAGCCACAUCUUAGACUGAGGUCCAGAAUGGGAAUCUGGCCCCGAGUCAUCCUGACUACUUGCACCUGAAAAACGGCAGCCCAGUGUCACAAAUUAGGACAAAGCGAAAGUACUUUUUAGACUGCAGACUCAUAUAGCUGGUGCAUUUGAAAAUGUCCUCCUCUUCACCAGUCAUACACGCCGAAGGAGGAAGGAGUGCCUGCUUUGCCAUGUUUUCUACCUCCUCCGGAAAGACCAGUGG